GAAAUCACUAAAACUGAAAUUUUUACCACUGACUUCAAGACUGACUGACUACGCUUAAUGAAGAACACGUGAAGAUUCAAUUGAAGGAACUGAAGGUCAUCCCAGUGAUUUUAUUGAAUCCCCUAAAUCGUCCACAAGCAAACAAUCACCGAGGCCUAUUGGUCAAAAACAAGCUAAAGCGGCUAAACGUGUCGAGGAACAUCAAUCUGCCAUGAGUGAUGUUCUUGAAGAACUGAAGAUGAAAAACCGUGCCCUGCAAAGAUUCACGGAUGCGUUACAAAGAGCAUCGGACAUAAAAAUAAUGACAACUUCGUUCGAGGGAUUGGAUGAAACAUCCAAACAACUUCUGAUUCGAGAAAAGGAGCAACUACAAGCACGGUUGCAAAAUAAUGUUGAGAGCGAGCCUGAUGAUGAAGAACGUAUUACUCUUCGACCGUUGGUCGAUCUAGAUGACAGCGACGGGAAAGAUAUUGAAAACGAUGUAAUUCAAUCAGUUGAUCCACUGGCGUGUGUUAUUGGUGACGAAGAAGGUGUAUGUGACGUUGAAUAUCUUAAUGAAUACCAACCUGAACAUUAAAUGUGUAUGCAUGCUGCAUAAACGAUUGCAAAGCAAUUCAUCACUGUCAUAAUGUCUAUGUAAUAAACCACACAAUUAAUGAUAGAUUUGGGACUACAAAAGUAAGUUUUACAGUAUGCAUACAAAAUCUUUGUUUUAUCUGAGUUCUGUAUUUUUAAAAUAUGUAUUAAGCAAAUGCUUUUUUUUACUAUAACGAAUAAACAAUCAGAGAUUAAAAAACGAAUCACAAUCUAAGUCACGUUAGUGCUAAUAAAAACUAAAUUAAGGAGA